CACCCAAUAUUUCCCAGCAUCUCAUUUCACAAGAAUUACUAAGGACAUAUCAAGCAAUUGCCAAAGGUUGCACGGAGACAUCUUACAGGAGCUCAAGCCACAACUCCAUUAUGGAGGUCCACUCUGAGAGGGACAAAGUUUACAUUCCAUUUCUAUAGUCCAUGAAAUUUGAGAUGCCUGAGAUAUAUGAUUUAGAGCAGUAAGCAAUGCUCCCUGAUCUCCAUACGACUUGCUGCAGUUUGUAGAUGAUCAGUGUGGCCCAUCUCAACACAUUGCUUGCACGGAUCUGCUUCUUUGAUGUUAUCCCUUUGUGGCUGAUAUGGACAAUAUUCACCCUCAUCCGGAGUUUGACAUGUGGCCACCAUAACGCCAAAAAAAAUGACUGAGUUCACUGAUAGAUAUAUCACAUUAUGUCAAGAAAAUCAAGGAAUAUUUCCUUAACCAUGAGUGGUUAAGGAUCGACUAUAAAAUGUGGACGCUGAUAUAGUCUGAGGUUGAACAAUUCUCUUUUAUCCCUCCCUUUUUCAUUUUGAAAUACUAACUUGAGCUUCGAAGGACCAUGUCAAUAGC